UGUGAGACUUGGCAAAUUUAGAAGUGGAGUUGGAGUUGUAGCGGAGAAAGGAGUGGGAGUGGGAGAGAGUAGUAGUUUGGAUGCAUGAAGAGCUGCAAGUUGCUCUAUGUGCCAAUAGAGUUGGUGGUAGUAUGAGAAUUGUGAAAGGGAGAGGUGGACAAAAUGGGACUUCCAUCAUUGAUGGGGAUGGUGAGGGGAAGAAGAUUAACAUUAGAAGUAAAGGUGUAGUUUUUCUGUUUCUAAGAUCUGGCAAUGGUCCAAGUAGAGUAAAUUCACAAAGUUCUGCAGAAACCCAUAUGGGUGGUACUGGUACAUCUUCUCUUACUGUGGGUUUGCCAUGGUCUGAUAGAUUAUAGGGUUCAUCAUGAAGGGACUGCUUUGAGGUUUUCAUAUGCCUAAACCCGCAAUAUUCUAUGCCAAUCACAAUACAUGCCCUUUUGGAACUCUGGAGUAAUAUUGCUUCUCAACUUUCUUCAGGUAGAAGUUUUAUUACGUGUGUGCAUAAGUCUGCUUGAUUCGCCCUUGACAACAACCUUUUCUACUGUUAUUAUAUUGCACUGGAUCUCAAGGACAACCAAGCAGCUUCAAGGUUAUGAUAUCAAGGAAUUGCUGCAAGCAACCUGAUAGGGAUUUUCAUUGCUUCUGGAGCUUGUUCAGGCUACCUUCUAGGUUUAUUAACCAUGGAACCAUACACGCUGCCUUUAUUACUACUUUCAUAAUCUAUCACUUCAUAAUUGGUGGAUUUUCAUGUGUUGUGAGUCUCAUCAAGUACAGAAUUCGGUUCCCUUCUUCAGGUAGAUGAGUGGGCAUGGUUCAGAGUCCACUCAAAUCUGAGCAAUAGGAGCAAAAGGAAUUGGGCUAAACCUUGGCUAAUGCUCCAGCAUGAUCAUAAAAAAUGGGCCUCCAGAAAUGAUACAUUAAAGGACAUUGCUUCUUAAUCAUGUGAAAUUUUACAGAUCAGGGUCCCAAACAAGGCCAGUAUCUUGGAAAAUACUGACUUCUACCGUAAUGCUUUGAAGGCCAGGUUUAUAAGAAUAAGCAUAUGGUCACAGGGAAACUUUAUUGCAAAUCAAGUUUACUAACAGCUAGUGUAUUGUUGUUGCCAAUCACCAAACUAUCCACUGAGGUAGACUACUCUUCAUUGUUAAAAGGAAACCAUUACUAACACACUAUGUGACCAAUACACAUAUCAAAACCUAUAACAUUUGCUGAUGAUUAUGAUUAUUUACAUUUUUUUUUUCUCUUUGAAAUGCGAAA